AGAACAACCUCAACAACCAACACCAUGUGUGGCUACUACGGAAACUACUAUGGCGGCAGAGGCUAUGGCUGCUGUGGCUAUGGAGGCCCUGGGCUGUGGCUAUGGCUCCUACUAUGGCUGUGGCUACCGUGGACUGGGCUGUGGCUAUGGCUAUGGCUGUGGUUAUGGCUCUGGCUGUGGCUAUGGCUCCCGCUAUCUCUAUGGCUGUGGCUAUGGAUGUGGCUCUGGCUAUGGAUCUGGAUUUGGCUAUUACUAUUGAAGAAACCACGAGAUACUCUUACCUGCUCCAACUGUGAUUCCAGCACUGCCCAAUUAUCAAUCGCUUUCUGAACCUUAGCCUUGGAUGAAGAUUAUCCUACAGCAAAAGAAAAUCCAUCACAGACUGAUCCUCAGCUGUAUGAAGUUGAUCCAUCCCUUAAACAUUCUUUCUCAAGAGAAAUGUAGUGAAAUUCAAGUGCAAACUCGUAGCUCUGCCAUCAUCUCAAUGAUGGUAAUAGAGCAAAAGCCUUAUUGAUCUUCAUGUUGGAAUUUGUUUCUCUGUUAUUCUAAUAAACUUGUUCAAUCUACAAA
rnacentral:lncRNA from 1 species